CAGUAGCCGCGGUAAUACGAAGGGUGCAAGCGUUAAUCGGAAUUACUGGGCGUAAAGCGUGCGUAGGCGGUUUGUUAAGUCUGCUGUGAAAUCCCCGGGCUCAACCUGGGAAUGGCAGUGGAUACUGGCAAGCUAGAGUGUGUCAGAGGAUGGUGGAAUUCCCGGUGUAGCGGUGAAAUGCGUAGAGAUCGGGAGGAACAUCAGUGGCGAAGGCGGCCAUCUGGGACAACACUGACGCUGAGGCACGAAAGCGUGGGGAGCAAACAGGAUUAGAUACCCCAGUAGUCCCUGUCUCUUAUAA
rnacentral:rRNA from 1 species